rnacentral:rRNA from 1 species
ACAAGGAGCAAUCUGAGGUGGCGACCGGCGCACGGGUGAGUAACACGUAUGCAACCUGCCUGUAAGCGGGGAAUAACCCGUUGAAAGACGGACUAAUACCGCAUAAUACUAAAUUACUGCAUGGUAAUUUAUUUAAACAUUUAUGGCUUACAGAUGGGCAUGCGCAUGAUUAGCUAGUUGGAGAGGUAACGGCUCCCCAAGGCAACGAUCAUUAGGGGUUCUGAGAGGAAGGUCCCCCACACUGGUACUGAGACACGGACCAGACUCCUACGGGAGGCAGCAGUGAGGAAUAUUGGUCAAUGGACGAGAGUCUGAACCAGCCAAGUCGCGUGCAGGAAGAAUGUCCUUAAUGGAUUGUAAACUGCUUUUGCAGGGGAAUAAAGUGCAUCACGUGUGAUGUUUUGUAUGUACUCUGCGAAUAAGGAUCGGCUAACUCCGUGCCAGCAGCGGC